rnacentral:rRNA from 1 species
ACGGGAGGCAGCAGUGAGGAAUAUUGGUCAAUGGACGAGAGUCUGAACCAGCCAAGUAGCGUGAAGGAUGACUGCCCUAUGGGUUGUAAACUUCUUUUAUACGGGAAUAAAGUGAGGCACGUGUGCCUUUUUGUAUGUACCGUAUGAAUAAGGAUCGGCUAACUCCGUGCCAGCAGCCGCGGUAAUACGGAGGAUCCGAGCGUUAUCCGGAUUUAUUGGGUUUAAAGGGAGCGUAGGCGGACGCUUAAGUCAGUUGUGAAAGUUUGCGGCUCAACCGUAAAAUUGCAGUUGAUACUGGGUGUCUUGAGUACAGUAGAGGCAGGCGGAAUUCGUGGUGUAGCGGUGAAAUGCUUAGAUAUCACGAAGAACUCCGAUUGCGAAGGCAGCUUGCUGGACUGUAACUGACGCUGAUGCUCGAAAGUGUGGGUAUCAAACAGGAUUAGAUACCCUGGUAGUCCACACAGUAAACGAUGAAUACUCGCUGUUUGCGAUAUACAGUAAGCGGCC